UACGUAGGGGGCGAGCGUUGUCCGGAUUUAUUGGGCGUAAAGAGCUCGUAGGCGGUUCGGCAAGUCGAAUGUGAAAUCUCCACGCUCAACGUGGAGGGGUCAUUCGAUACUGCCGUGACUCGAGUCCGGUAGGGGAGUGUGGAAUUCCCGGUGUAGCGGUGAAAUGCGCAGAGAUCGGGAGGAACACCCGUAGCGAAGGCGGCACUCUGGGCCGGUACUGACGCUGAGGAGCGAAAGCGUGGGGAGCAAACAGG
rnacentral:rRNA from 1 species